rnacentral:rRNA from 1 species
AGAGUUUGAUCCUGGCUCAGGAUGAACGCUAGCUACAGGCUUAACACAUGCAAGUCGAGGGGCAGCAUUUUAGUUUGCUUGCAAACUAAAGAUGGCGACCGGCGCACGGGUGAGUAACACGUAUCCAACCUGCCGAUAACUCGGGGAUAGCCUUUCGAAAGAAAGAUUAAUAUCCGAUAGUAUAUUAAAACCGCAUGGUUUUACUAUUAAAGAAUUUCGGUUAUCGAUGGGGAUGCGUUCCAUUAGUUUGUUGGCGGGGUAACGGCCCACCAAGACUACGAUGGAUAGGGGUUCUGAGAGGAAGGUCCCCCACAUUGGAACUGAGACACGGUCCAAACUCCUACGGGAGGCAGCAGUGAGGAAUAUUGGUCAAUGGACGAGAGUCUGAACCAGCCAAGUAGCGUGAAGGAUGACUGCCCUAUGGGUUGUAAACUUCUUUUAUAUGGGAAUAAAGUAUUCCACGUGUGGGAUUUUGUAUGUACCAUAUGAAUAAGGAUCGGCUAACUCCGUGCCAGCAGCCGCGGUAAUACGGAGGAUCCGAGCGUUAUCCGGAUUUAUUGGGUUUAAAGGGAGCGUAGGUGGAUUGUUAAGUCAGUUGUGAAAGUUUGCGGCUCAACCGUAAAAUUGCAGUUGAAACUGGCAGUCUUGAGUACAGUAGAGGUGGGCGGAAUUCGUGGUGUAGCGGUGAAAUGCUUAGAUAUCACGAAGAACUCCGAUUGCGAAGGCAGCUCACUAGACUGCAACUGACACUGAUGCUCGAAAGUGUGGGUAUCAAACAGGAUUAGAUACCCUGGUAGUCCACACAGUAAACGAUGAAUACUCGCUGUUUGCGAUAUACAGUAAGCGGCCAAGCGAAAGCAUUAAGUAUUCCACCUGGGGAGUACGCCGGCAACGGUGAAACUCAAAGGAAUUGACGGGGGCCCGCACAAGCGGAGGAACAUGUGGUUUAAUUCGAUGAUACGCGAGGAACCUUACCCGGGCUUAAAUUGCAUUUGAAUAAUCUGGAAACAGGUUAGCCGUAAGGCAAAUGUGAAGGUGCUGCAUGGUUGUCGUCAGCUCGUGCCGUGAGGUGUCGGCUUAAGUGCCAUAACGAGCGCAACCCUUAUCUUUAGUUACUAACAGGUCAUGCUGAGGACUCUAGAGAGACUGCCGUCGUAAGAUGUGAGGAAGGUGGGGAUGACGUCAAAUCAGCACGGCCCUUACGUCCGGGGCUACACACGUGUUACAAUGGGGGGUACAGAAGGCAGCUACCUGGCGACAGGAUGCUAAUCCCAAAAACCUCUCUCAGUUCGGAUCGAAGUCUGCAACCCGACUUCGUGAAGCUGGAUUCGCUAGUAAUCGCGCAUCAGCCAUGGCGCGGUGAAUACGUUCCCGGGCCUUGCACACACCGCCCGUC